rnacentral:rRNA from 1 species
UGGGGAAUUUUGGACAAUGGGGGAAACCCUGAUCCAGCCAUCCCGCGUGUGCGAUGAAGGCCUUCGGGUUGUAAAGCACUUUUGGCAGGAAAGAAACGUCAUGGGUUAAUACCCCGUGAAACUGACGGUACCUGCAGAAUAAGCAACGGCUAACUACGUGCCAGCAGACGCGGUAAUACGUAGGGUGCAAGCGUUAAUCGGAAUUACUGGGCGUAAAGCGUGCGCAGGCGGUUCGGAAAGAAAGAUGUGAAAUCCCAGAGCUCAACUUUGGAACUUCAUUUUUAACUACCGGGCUAGAUUGUGUGAGAGGGAGGUGGAAUUCCGCGUGUAGCAGUGAAAUGCGUAGAUAUGCGGAGGAACACCGAUGGCGAAGGCAGCCUCCUGAGAUAACACUGACGCUCAUGCACGAAAGCGUGGGGAGCAAACAGG